UACGAAGGGGGCUAGCGUUGUUCGGAAUCACUGGGCGUAAAGGGCGCGUAGGCGGCCGAUCAAGUCGGGGGUGAAAGCCUGUGGCUCAACCACAGAAUUGCCUUCGAUACUGGUUGGCUUGAGACCGGAAGAGGUAAGUGGAACUGCGAGUGUAGAGGUGAAAUUCGUAGAUAUUCGCAAGAACACCAGUGGCGAAGGCGGCUUACUGGUCCGGUUCUGACGCUGAGGCGCGGAAAGGCGUGGGUAGCAAACAGG
rnacentral:rRNA from 1 species